rnacentral:rRNA from 1 species
UGAGUAACCUGCCCUUAACCCUGGGAUAAGCCUGGGGAAAACUGGGUCUAAUACCGGAUAUGACUCCUCAUCGCAUGGUGGGGGGUGGAAAGCUUUAUUGUGGUUUUGGAUGGACUCGCGGCCUAUCAGCUUGUUGGUGAGGUAAUGGCUUACCAAGGCGACGACGGGUAGCCGGCCUGAGAGGGUGACCGGCCACACUGGGACUGAGACACGGCCCAGACUCCUACAGGAGGCAG